CAUAUAUAUAUAUAUAUUUUAGCAAAAUGUUGAGCUUACACAUCAAAACAAGUUAACUGAAUGUUUACUAUAUUUCGCUCAAUGAACAUAAAUAAGAAAGUUGAGUAAACUCAAUAUUUUGACGACUUCGUUUGAGCGGUUAACUUCACAUCACUGCGCAUGAGCAAAGCGCCGUCUCUGGAUUAUACACGGGGUUUUCAAACAUCAACAACGAAGAAAAGGGGAAAAGGGAGUCUCCUUGACAAGGACACUGAGCCAGAGGAUGUCCAUCCAAGGGGAUGAAGAUGAGCAUCUUAUGUAUCACUGGAAGAUGAUGUUGUCACCAUCCACUCAAACCCAGAGGUGCCUAGCUGUAGUCCUAGAGACGCAGAUUGUGCUGGAAUAUAUACAUGACCUUACCACUGCUGUUGCUGUCCUUUUGGCUUAAUUUAGUUCACCCAAAAAAUGAAAAUUCGGUCAUCAUUUACUCACCGUCAUGUCGAUAAGACAUUUGUUCAUCUUCAGUACACAAAUGAAGAUAUUUUUAAUGAAACCUGAGAUAUUUCUGUCCAUCCACUGAAAAACUAUUCACCUAAAAUUUCGAUGCUUCAAAAUGUUUAUAAAGAGAUUGUAAAAUGACUCCAUAUGAAUCAAACAGUUUAAUCAAAGUCUUCUGAAGAGACGUGAUCAUCACAUUACACAUUACGCAUUUCACAAUAAAUGCUGCUCCAUCUCUGCAAGUGCCAUGAGUUUGAGUCUUAUAUAACGUGUAUUCAUAAAAAAACAACACAGAAAUUAUAUUAAUUUUUAGUAUUCUAUACAGCUUAAAAACUGUCAAUUAGCAUUGCAUAAUAAGUACACUCUAAAAAAGAUGGUUCAUUAAAGGUUUGUUACAUGUAGUAACACUUCUAUUUAGAACCGAGUUUAGGGUUCUUUAUUCCUGCCUUUUUGUUUUUAAAAUCUGUAACUGUCAAAGCUCCUCAUUACUGAUUUUCUGGAGUUCAGCCAUCCAGCUAGACUGUCAACAGUGUCAACAGGUAAAAUUAUUUCUUACAAUGUCAAUAAAUGAUAACUUUCAUAUUGUAACUGGUUUCUCAGUAUCAAUAAUGUAUUUUUCUUUUUUAGUUUCUUUUUAGUGUGACCAGCUCUGUUCAGUUAAGGAUACUCUCUUCUUCUCCACUAAAUUCACAACCUCAUCAUCUGCAGAGAAACCGCCACCCAAUUACACCAAAAUGAUGGACUUAAAGGCAUCACAGAGGAUCCUGACGAUACAGUAUUUCACUGGAGC